GACGAACGCUGGCGGCGUGCCUAAUACAUGCAAGUCGAGCGCAGGAAAUCGACGGAACCCUUCGGGGGGAAGUCGACGGAAUGAGCGGCGGACGGGUGAGUAACACGUAAAGAACCUGCCCUCAGGUCUGGGAUAACCACGAGAAAUCGGGGCUAAUACCGGAUGGGUCAUCGGACCGCAUGGUCCGAGGAUGAAAGGCGCUUCGGCGUCGCCUGGGGAUGGCUUUGCGGUGCAUUAGCUAGUUGGUGGGGUAAUGGCCCACCAAGGCGACGAUGAAUAGCGGACCUGAGGGGGUGAUCGGCCACACGGGGACUGAGACACGGCCCAGACUCCUACGGGAGGCAGCAGUAGGGAAUCUUCCACAAUGGACGAAAGUCUGAUGGAGCAACGCCGCGUGAACGAUGAAGGCCUUCGGGUCGUAAAGUUCUGUUGUAAGGGAAGAACAAGUGCCGCAGGCAAUGGCGGCACCUUGACGGUACCUUGCGAGAAAGCCACGGCUAACUACGUGCCAGCAGCCGCCGUAA
rnacentral:rRNA from 1 species